GGACGAACCCUUGGAGAGAUCCAAUGUGCAAGGCACAAAAUGGACGCCGAAGGCGCAAAAGAGCGGUGGUUUUUUCACGGCUUUUCAAACGCUCAGGCAAAAGGACAGGGGCAAGAGA
rnacentral:ncRNA from 2 species